AAAUAAGUACUAUAAACUAAGCGUUAUGAUCAGUAGAUUAUAAUUUAUAUCCUACUAUAUUAUUUGGGAAGUACAUUUUAAAUGUAACCUUAAUUUUUGUAAGUAAUUACAUAGGUAUGCCAUUAGAAAUAAAAUUUUAAAGAGUAAAUUAAUUUAUCUCUUUAAGGAUUAAAAAGUCAAAUACUAAUUUAAUUAAUUAAAUUUAAUUAAAAAA
rnacentral:sRNA from 1 species